GCCGACGUAGCUCAGACAGGUAGAGCAGCUGAUUCGUAAUCAGCAGGUCACCGGUUCAAGUCCGGUCGUCGGCUCCA
rnacentral:tRNA from 1 species